UGGGGAAUAUUGGACAAUGGGCGCAAGCCUGAUCCGGCCAUGCCGCGUGAGUGAUGAAGGCCCUAGGGUUGUAAAGCUCUUUCACCGGUGAAGAUAAUGACGGUAACCGGAGAAGAAGCCCCGGCUAACUUCGUGCCAGCAGCCGCGGUAAUACGAAGGGGGCUAGCGUUGUUCGGAUUUACUGGGCGUAAAGCGCACGUAGGCGGACUUUUAAGUCAGGGGUGAAAUCCCGGGGCUCAACCCCGGAACUGCCUUUGAUACUGGAAGUCUUGAGUAUGGUAGAGGUGAGUGGAAUUCCGAGUGUAGAGGUGAAAUUCGUAGAUAUUCGGAGGAACACCAGUGGCGAAGGCGGCUCACUGGACCAUUACUGACGCUGAGGUGCGAAAGCGUGGGGAGCAAACAGG
rnacentral:rRNA from 1 species